GAUAUGGGUCUAUAAUUACCGAUCUGCUCUUUGUCACCAGCUUUAAAAAUUGGAGAAACUCGCGCAAUUUUCAUUUUUUCAGGAAACACCCCAGAGGUUAACGAUAGAUUGAAUAUAUGACAUAAAGGUUCGCUAAUUAGUUCGAUUACAAGUUUAACAAUCUUAGGUGAGCAUUCAUCAAGACCUGGGGCUUUAUUGUUAUCGAAACGCAUGACAAUGUUACAUAUUGCACGUUGGCUUACCGGAUUUAAAAACAAAGAUUUUGAAUUUGGUUCAGAUAGAUAAGUUCUGAAAUCUGUAUUAUUUUGAGGAGUGAUAUUAGCUAGCUUUGGACCGAUUUCAACGAAAAAAUUAUUAAAAGCAUUUGCUAUUUGGAACGGGUCUGACGACCGACCUUCGUCACAAACUAUGGUGUUGGAGGUUGAUUUUUUUCUUUUAUUUAAUAUUGAUUUGAUCAUUUGCCAUGUACGAUUUAUAUUAUUUUUAUAUUCUUCAAAUUUAGAUUUAUAAUAAUGUUUUUUAGCCUGCCGUUUCAAACAGUUAACUAGUUUAAGAGAAUCUUUGUAUUUAAGUUCGUUUCUAACUGUUGGUUUAUGGAUAUAUUUUUUAUAUAGAUUGUUUUUAUGUCGAAUAGAUUGAAGCAAACCAUCGGUCAUCCAGCAUUUCAGUUUGAUUUUCUUACUAGGUGUUUUUUUUUAUGGAAAAUUGUUAUUAUACAAUGUAGUAAAUUUGGUUAUGAAUAUAUCAUAUGAUUCAUUAGCAUCCUGCAUAUUAAAAAUUUCAUCCCAAUUUGAAUUUUCGAUUUCGCUUUUAAAUUUCGCAAUAUUUUGUGAUGUAAAAGACCUACGGAGUACGUUAUGAUUUGUCGAUUUAAUUUUACUAACAUUCAUGUAAGUUAUAUGAAAUAUUGGUAAGUGAUCUGACACGUCAGAGUAUAUCACUCCACCGUUACUAUCUAAGUCAAAUUGAUUUGUCAAAAAAUUAUCUAAAAGGGUGGCACUUGUCUUAGUAAUUCUUGUGGGCCUGUGAAUUAAAGGGAGAAAAAAAUUACUGAAAAGACAGUUCACAAAGUUCUUACUUUGAGAAUUUGAGUUGUGUUUUAAAAUAUCUAUAUUUAAGUCGCCCGUCAAAAAUACCCUUUUAUUUUCCCUAAAAAGACGGAUCAAAAGGCUAUCAAACUCUUCAAUAAAUGAAUUAAUGUCCAACGAUGGGGCUCUAUACAGGGUUCCUACAAUGAUAUUUUUCCCUGAGCACUGUUCCAGUUCGAUGAAUAAAGAAUCGCAUGUUGCUUCGCUUAAAUUAAGGUCACUGCGUACUACGAAAUUAAAAGAGUCAUGGAUAUACAUUCCAACUCCACCACCUCUAGAAUAUUUCCUAUUAUUGCAAAUAAACGAGUAGUUAGGCAUAUAAACAAGGGGACUUUCGAAUCUUAGCCAGGUUUCGGAUAUGGCAAUUAUAUCAAAUGUAAAUUUCAAAGAGUUAAGACAGCUUGAAAUGUCAUCAAAAGAAUUUAAAAGACUUCUGGCAUUAAAGUGAAUGCUUGAAAAUUUACCGCUGCUCGGGACACCAAUAUUUUCAAAGUUUGUAUUAAAUUCUUCAUAACAAUAGUACCGAGAGUCAUUUGAACUCUCAGUAUAGAAUUGGAAGUCUGGGUCAACAUCGUCAUUUGGGACAAUGCUUUCAUGUGCUAAAAAAGGAUCAAAAUGUAAGUGAGAAAUUCUAUCAAAAUUGUCUUCUAAGGGUUCAUCAGCCGAUAUUACAUCAUCGAGCUCGUUAUCAUUCAACUGGUUGAAAGGAAAUAAUUGUUCAAGACAGUGUUUACAACAAGAAAAAUAUUCGUUCCAGUCAUGGUUCCGACACAUUUGCUUACACAUGUAACAAUAUAUGCGAUUUAGGUCACUGAAUUCUUGUAUAGGUUCACUCGUCAUCAAAGUAAAAAUUUGUCGCUUUAUCAUGUAGGAAUUUCAAUCCAGACUGAUACCUAAUUUGACAAAUGUCAUUAAAAUAUAUUAGGUUACAUACUAUGUGUAUUGUAGCUUUGGCUUUGGGAAAGAUAACAAAACCUAUGCAAAUUGUUGUUGCAAAUUGAAUGAGUGCGAACCAAAUAAAUACAUAUUGAACGUUAAUUGCACGUCGUUUGGUAUACACGGUAAAGUCAUGCCCACAAGAAGGUUGGAGGAAGAGAAUAAAGUUAGUAGAAAAGGAAAUAUGUGAAGAAGAAGAAUUUGCCCUUAUAAUUAAGCUAAUUUGGUACAAAAUUAUAAACAUCGUGGAUAUAAAAUCAGUAGAAAAGUUCAUCGUAUAACCACUAAUAACCACUAUAAGGAGCCAUGCAAUUAUAAGGCAAAAGAAUGAUUAAGUGGAUGCGUCUGCAUCAAAAAGUAAUAUGCAUUACGACAUGAAUUAUUCAAAAUAAAUUGCUAUGAAUGCUAUCAUAUCUCUUUCCUUAUACACAUUUUGGGAGUAAAAAUAAAUACCAUAAAUCUGAUUUUUUUUUUUAAUACAUUUUUCGUGGUCUUGUCAUAAAUAAAGACAUGAGUUCUUCUUGAGAAAUUAACAAUAGUUGGACAAGAUAAACUUCAGACAAUCAAAACUAUAAAAAAUAGAUUGAAUCAAAAGACGAGACUACCUGCAUACACCAUAGUUUGAUGAUUUUUUUUAUAUAUAAAGACAAUGAGACAAGUAUAAAACGCAAAUGCAUGCAGUUAACUUUCCAUCCAUAUCUUUUUUACAUAACUGAUAUGUGCAUCUAUAUUCUGUAAUCAAGUAAAUUUCCAAAAAUCUUGACAGUGCAAUGUUGCUAUAUAGAAUUAAAUACUUCAUAUUCUUCAAAAUUGUGAUAAAGAAACUUCGUCUAACAGUAAAAUGACCCUUCAGCAGAUUCUUGUUUUAUCUUAUUCUUUUUGUUUACAAGCUAUAGGUACAUCAAUUUGUUUACAAUAGUUUUGUUUCAUAGAUCAAAGUUGCACAUCUGAGCAGAAAAAAAAAGAGAAAAAAAGAAAAAAAAAAAAUUGAACUCAUCAUCGUAAGGUCGUGGGUUCGAAUCCCCACUUUGAUUAAAAAAGACCCAUUUUCCGCUGUCUCCUACUAUACCUGACUAUCUUAGACGUAAAAGGCUUCCUAUGUUAUCUAAAAGUUGUGAUUGACUUGAUUGAAAGUUCGGAAAAUAAAUUUCUAGUCUCUCGGCAGACAGCUGAGUGGGAAAAAUGAUUAUAAGAUAACAUUUCUAUUAAGAGAAAAACACAAGCAAUCAUUCAGGUUACCAAUGACUUUCAAUCUUGUCUGUGACGCGGCAAAUUAAAGAAAAACCAAGAAAGUGCCAUCACAUCAUGAUAAUAGUAUAACCUUCCACCACAUUUAAUGAUUGGAUUUGGUGAUUGAACACGACUGAAUGAAAAUCAUAUAGAAUAAUAAACUCGUUGAAACUACAUAAAGAGGGAUGUCUUUACAGAUACAUACUCAGACGUCGAAGACGACAACGGUAUUCGCUUAAUUUCAACAAGUUUAUCUGAUACCUGACUGGCACGAUCCUGCAACCGCUAUUCCGGUCUUGAAACAAGAUGAAGUCCGCACGACUCGCCAUCCCCCUCUUCUUGGUAUUCAUCUUCUGUGUUUACCAAGCUUCUUCAGCUCCUGCUAAAGAUGGGGCCGAGGAAGCAAUAUAUGGCCCGGGUAUGAUAAGAGAACACAAAGCUGAAAUGCGUGAGGAUGGGAACGUGAAACUUGACACCUUUGGUA